AGGACGACGCUGGCGGCGUAGCCUAAUACAUGCAAGUCGAACGGUCUUUCUAUGGAAGCUUGCUUCCACUGAGAAGAUAGUGGCGAACGGGUGAGUAACACGUGGGUAACCUGCCCAUAAGAGGGGGAUAACGAUCCGGAAACGGGUGCUAAUACCGCAUAGUUUUCUUGAUCGCAUGAUCGGGAAAGGAAGACGGCCUUUGUGCUGUCGCUUAUGGAUGGACCCGCGGCGUAUUAGUUAGUUGGUGAGGUAACGGCUCACCAAGACGAUGAUACGUAGCCGACCUGAGAGGGUGAUCGGCCACAUUGGGACUGAGACACGGCCCAAACUCCUACGGGAGGCAGCAGUAGGGAAUCUUCCGCAAUGGACGAAAGUCUGACGGAGCAACGCCGCGUGAGUGAAAGAAGGUUUUCGGAUCGUAAAACUCUGUUGUCAGAGAAGAACAAGUUGGAGAGUAACUGCUCCAGCCUUGACGGUAUCUGACCAGAAAGCCACGGCUAACUACGUGCCAGCCGCCGC
rnacentral:rRNA from 1 species